rnacentral:rRNA from 1 species
AUUGAACGCUGGCGGCAGGCCUAACACAUGCAAGUCGAGCGGAUGAAGGGAGCUUGCUCCUGGAUUCAGCGGCGGACGGGUGAGUAAUGCCUAGGAAUCUGCCUGGUAGUGGGGGAUAACGUCCGGAAACGGGCGCUAAUACCGCAUACGUCCUGAGGGAGAAAGUGGGGGAUCUUCGGACCUCACGCUAUCAGAUGAGCCUAGGUCGGAUUAGCUAGUUGGUGGGGUAAAGGCCUACCAAGGCGACGAUCCGUAACUGGUCUGAGAGGAUGAUCAGUCACACUGGAACUGAGACACGGUCCAGACUCCUACGGGAGGCAGCAGUGGGGAAUAUUGGACAAUGGGCGAAAGCCUGACCCAGCCAUGCCGCGUGUGUGAAGAAGGUCUUCGGAUUGUAAAGCACUUUAAGUUGGGAGGAAGGGCAGUAAGUUAAUACAUUGCUGUUUUGACGUUACCAACAGAAUAAGCACCGGCUAACUUCGUG